AGCCCUUCGGGGCGAGUAGACCGGCGGACGGGUGAGUAACGCGUGAGUGAUCUGCCCGGAGGCGGGGGACACCCCGGGGAAACCCGGGCUAAUACCGCAUUGAGCGGCGGGGGUGGAGCCCUGUCGUGAAAGCUGGCCUCUCGUGGAAGCCAGCGCCUCCGGAGGAGCUCGCGUCCUAUCAGCCAGCUGGUGAGGUAAGGGCUCACCAGGGCGAUGACGGGUAGCUGGCGUGAGAGCGUGGUCAGCCACACUGGGACUGAGACACGGCCCAGACUCCUACGGGAGGCAGCAGUGGGGAAUCUUGCACAAUGGGCGCAAGCCUGAUGCAGCGACGCCGCGUGGGGGAGGACGGCCGAGAGGUUGUAAACCCCUGUCGGGCGGGAAGAAUCAAGGGGUCGGCGAACAGCCGGCGCCCCUGACGGUACCGCCAGCAGGAAGCUCCGGCUAACUCCGUGCCAGCAGCCGCGGUAAAACGGAGGGAGCGAGCGUUGUCCGGAAUUACUGGGCGUACAGGGCGCGUAGGCGGCCGGAUCAGUCGUGUGUGAACGCCCCGGGCUCAACCCGGGAGGUGCAGGCGAAACUGUCCGGCUGGAGUCAGGCAGAGGCGAGCGGAAUUCCCGGUGUAGCGGUGGAAUGCGUAGAUAUCGGGAGGAACACCGACGGCGAAGGCAGCUCGCUGGGCCUGUUCUGACGCUGAAGCGCGAAAGCGU
rnacentral:rRNA from 1 species